UGGGGAAUAUUGGACAAUGGAGGAAACUCUGAUCCAGCAAUUCUGUGUGUGUGAAGAAGGUUUUAGGACUGUAAAACACUUUUAGUAGGGAAGAAAAAAAUGACGGUACCUACAGAAGAAGCAACGGCUAAAUACGUGCCAGCAGCCGCGGUAAUACGUAUGUUGCGAGCGUUAUCCGGAAUUAUUGGGCUUAAAGGGCAUCUAGGCGGUAAGACAAGUUGAAGGUGAAAACCUGUGGCUCAACCAUAGGCUUGCCUACAAAACUGUUGAACUAGAGUACUGGAAAGGUGGGUGGAACUACACGAGUAGAGGUGAAAUUCGUAGAUAUGUGUAGGAAUGCCGAUGAUGAAGAUGACUCGCUGGACAGAAACUGACGCUGAAGUGCGAAAGCUAGGGGAGCAAACAGG
rnacentral:rRNA from 1 species